GUGUCAGCAGCCGCGGUAAAACGUAGGAGGCAAGCGUUAUCCGGAGUAACUGGGCGUAAAGGGCGAGUAGGUGGUUGCGUAAGUUGGUUAUGAAAGCUCCUGGCUAAACUGGGAGAGGUUGACCAAGACUGCGCGACUUGAGUGGAGAAGAGGUAAACGGAAUUCCGCGUGUAGUGGUGAAAUGCGUAGAGAUGCGGAAGAACACCAGUGGCGAAGGCGGUUUACUGGUCUCCAACUGACACUGAACCGCGAAAGCAUGGGUAGCGAACGGGAUUAGAAACCCCCGUAGUCC
rnacentral:rRNA from 1 species